rnacentral:rRNA from 1 species
AAGCAUCUUCGGAUGUGUAUAAAGUGGCGAACGGCUGAGUAACACGUGGGCAACCUGCCCUUUGCACUGGGAUAGCCUCGGGAAACCGAGGUUAAUACCGGAUACUCCAUAUUUGUCGCAUGGCGAAUAUGGGAAAGCUCCGGCGGCAAAGGAUGGGCCCGCGGCCUGUUAGCUAGUUGGUGGGGUAGUGGCCUACCAAGGCAAUGAUGGGUAGCCGGGUUGAGAGACCGACCGGCCAGAUUGGGACUGAGACACGGCCCAGACUCCUACGGGAGGCAGCAGUGGGGAAUCUUGCACAAUGGGCGAAAGCCUGAUGCAGCGACGCCGCGUGCGGGAUGAAGGCCUUCGGGUUGUAAACCGCUUUCAGCAGGGACGAGGCCGCAAGGUGACGGUACC